UAGGGAAUCUUCCACAAUGGACGCAAGUCUGAUGGAGCAACGCCGCGUGAGUGAAGAAGGGUUUCGGCUCGUAAAGCUCUGUUGUUAAAGAAGAACGUGGGUAAGAGUAACUGUUUACCCAGUGACGGUAUUUAACCAGAAAGCCACGGCUAACUACGUGCCUAG
rnacentral:rRNA from 1 species